ACAACCCCUUCCACUUUGCUGACCACGGUCACCCUUUGUUCAACUGCCCGACUCAUCUCAUUCUCACACACAAACCAACCUGCCCGUUGCCCUUUUUCUCACAACCUAAGAUUAUUAUUAGUAUUUAACUAUUUAAUAAAGCUUUCAUAUGUUGUCUCUUUUACUGCGCUUUUUUCUGUUCAAAUUCGUUACUUUGUUUUCUCUUCUUGUUACAUAGAACUACGAGAUUGCUUUCUCUUUCUAUCUCUAACCUUACUGCAUUGUCUUCUUCUACUUAUUGCUUCAGAAUCUCUUCUCACUUCCAUGCAUUUUUCAUUUAUUCUUCUUCUUCUUUCUCUCUCUAAAUGA